GUGGCGGUUCCGGAUUAUUGGGCGUAAGAGCUCGUAGGCGGUUUGUCGCGUCUGCCGUGAAAGUCCGGGGCUCAACUCCGGAUCUGCGGUGGGUACGGGCAGACUAGAGUGAUGUAGGGGAGACUGGAAUUCCUGGUGUAGCGGUGAAAUGCGCAGAUAUCAGGAGGAACACCGAUGGCGAAGGCAGGUCUCUGGGCAUUAACUGACGCUGAGGAGCGAAAGCAUGGGGAGCGAACAGGAUUAGAUACCCUGGUAGUCCAUGCCGUAAACGUUGGGCACUAGGUGUGGGAGACAUUCCACGUUUUCCGCGCCGUAGCUAACGCAUUAAGUGCCCCGCCUGGGGAGUACGGCCGCAAGGCUAAAACUCAAAGGAAUUGACGGGGGCCCGCACAAGCGGCGGAGCAUGCGGAUUAAUUCGAUGCAACGCGAAGAACCUUACCAAGGCUUGACAUGAACCGGUAAGACCUGGAAACAGGUCCCCCACUUGUGGCCGGUUUACAGGUGGUGCAUGGUUGUCGUCAGCUCGUGUCGUGAGAUGUUGGGUUAAGUCCCGCAACGAGCGCAACCCCUGUGGUCGGUUGAGAUGUCCGACAAGACUGCCACGCUAAACGUGGAGGAAGGUGGGGAUGACGUCAAGUCAGCACGGCCCUUACGUCCUGGGCGACACACACGCUACAAUGGCCGAGACAACGGGUCGCCAACCCGCGAGGGGGAGCCAAUCCCAGCAAACUCGGUCUCAGUUCGGAUGGUAGGCUGCAACCCGCCUGCCUGAAGCCGGAGUUGCUAGUAACCGUGGGUCAGCACACCACGGUGAAUACGUUCCCGGGUCUUGUACACACCGCCCGUCACACCACGAAAGUCGGCAACACCUGAAGCCGCUGGGCUAACUCUUUUACGGAAGAGGGGCAGCGUCGAGGGUGGGGUUGGUGAUUGGGGUGAAGUCGUACAAGGUAACCAUGACUG
rnacentral:rRNA from 1 species